GCAGUGGUGGUUCAAUGAUAGAUUUCUCACCUUUCACGUGGGAGAUCAGAGUUCGAUUCCUGGCCAGUGCA
rnacentral:tRNA from 1 species